UACAGAGGGUGCUAGCGUUGUUCGGAAUCAUUGGGCGUAAAGGGCGUGUAGGCGGUUUGUUAAGUCAUGUGUGAAAUCCCUCGGCUCAACCGGGGAAGGACGCAUGAAACUGGCAAGCUAGAGUACCAAAGAGGGGGGUGGAAUUCCCGGUGUAGCGGUGAAAUGCGUAGAUAUAGGAAGGAACACCAGUGGCGAAGGCGACCACCUGGACUGAUACUGACACUGAGGUGCGAAAGCGUGGGGAGCAAACAGG
rnacentral:rRNA from 1 species